rnacentral:rRNA from 1 species
UACGUAGGGUGCAAGCGUUACUCGGAAUUACUGGGCGUAAAGCGUGCGUAGGUGGUUGUUUAAGUCUGUUGUGAAAGCCCUGGGCUCAACCUGGGAACUGCAGUGGAAACUGGACAACUAGAGUGUGGUAGAGGGUAGCGGAAUUCCCGGUGUAGCAGUGAAAUGCGUAGAGAUCGGGAGGAACAUCCAUGGCGAAGGCAGCUACCUGGACCAACACUGACACUGAGGCACGAAAGCGUGGGGAGCAAACAGG